rnacentral:rRNA from 1 species
AUACGGAGGGUGCAAGCGUUAAUCGGAAUUACUGGGCGUAAAGCGUACGUAGGCGGUUUGUUUAGUCAGAUGUGAAAGCCCCGGGCUUAACCUGGGAACUGCAUUUGAAACUGGCAAACUUGAGUAUGGUAGAGGGGGGUAGAAUUUCUAGUGUAGUGGUGAAAUGCGUAGAUAUUAGAAGGAAUACCAGUGGCGAAGGCGGCCCCCUGGACCAAUACUGACGCUGAGGUACGAAAGCGUGGGGAGCGAACAGGAUUAGAAACCCCAGUAGUCC